rnacentral:rRNA from 1 species
UACGAAGGGGGCUAGCGUUGCUCGGAAUCACUGGGCGUAAAGGGUGCGUAGGCGGGUUUUUAAGUCAGGGGUGAAAUCCUGGAGCUCAACUCCAGAACUGCCUUUGAUACUGAAGAUCUCGAGUCCGGGAGAGGUGAGUGGAACUGCGAGUGUAGAGGUGAAAUUCGUAGAUAUUCGCAAGAACACCAGUGGCGAAGGCGGCUCACUGGCCCGGUACUGACGCUGAGGUGCGAAAGCGUGGGGAGCGAACAGG